rnacentral:rRNA from 1 species
AAAAGAAACCAACAGGGAUUGCCUCAGUAACGGCGAGUGAAGCGGCAACAGCUCAAAUUUGAAAUCUGGCUCCCUUGGCGUCCGAGUUGUAAUUUGCAGAGGAUGCUUUGGCAUUGGCGGCGGUCUAAGUGCCCUGGAACGGGACAUCGCAGAGGGUGAGAAUCCCGUACGUGGGCGCCUGCCUUUGCCGUGUAAAGCUCCUUCGACGAGUCGAGUUGUUUGGGAAUGCAGCUCUAAAUGGGAGGUAAAUUUCUCCUAAAGCUAAAUACCGGCCAGAGACCGAUAGCGCACAAGUAGAGUGAUCGAAAGAUGAAAAGCACUUUGGAAAGAGAGUUAAAUAGCACGUGAAAUUGUUGAAAGGGAAGCGCUUGCAGCCAGACUUGCCCGCAGUUGCUCACCUAGGCUUUUGCCUGGGGCACUCUUCUGCGGGCAGGCCAGCAUCAGUUUGGGCGGUCGGAUAAAGGUCUCUGUCAUGUACCACCCCUCGGGGGGCCUUAUAGGGGAGACGCAAUGCGACCAGCCCGGACUGAGGUCCGCGCAUCUGCUAG